rnacentral:misc_RNA from 1 species
CUGCUCCUCCCCAGCGUCCCUCGCCGAGCACCCUCUGCCCCAGCUCCUCACCAUUUCGUGCCCUGGGAGUCGUCCGGUCCUGUGUGUUUCGGUGGAUGGGCGUCGACUCCCCUGCGUCGGCUUCGAGCUCCCUCCCUCAACGCCAUCCUCCCAGCAGCGAGUCUCUCUCUUCCUCGAGGUCUCUUCCAUGGCUGCGGCUCCCUCUCUCUUUCUGGCCUCCACUACCGCGUCACUGGAUCGGUCCUGCUCGCCCCCAUGGCGCCUGGGCGGAUCUCCCUCCUCCCUGAAGCUUUUCCCCAUGGCGCCCAGUCUUGGUUGCUCCCUAUGCUGUGGAGUCUCCUGCGCGCCCAACCAUUUCUUUCUUCUCCCUCAGCUCGCUCCCUGUUCGCCGCGCGCUCUGGAGUCCUCUCUGCACCGCGCCGUGAAGCUCCCAUGGCGCCUUGCUUCUCUCCCUACUGGCACGCCGUGAAGCCCCUGCUUUCUUUCCAGCAGCGCCUGCUUUCCUUGCCGCGUGUUGCCUCAGCUCCCUCGUCGAGGAUCCUGCUCGCAAGCGUGCUCCUUCCCUGA